AGGUUUGAUCCUGGCUCAGAUUAAACGCUGGCGGCAUGCCUUACACAUGCAAGUCGAACGGUAGCGCGGGGCAACCUGGCGACGAGUGGCGAACGGGUGAGUAAAGCAUCGGAACGUGCCCUGGAAUGGGGGAUAACGUAGCGAAAGUUACGCUAAUACCGCAUAUUCUGUGAGCAGGAAAGCAGGGGAUCGCAAGACCUUGCGUUCUGGGAGCGGCCGAUGUCGGAUUAGCUAGUUGGUGGGGUAAAAGCCUACCAAGGCGACGAUCCGUAGCGGGUCUGAGAGGAUGAUCCGCCACACUGGGACUGAGACACGGCCCAGACUCCUACGGGAGGCAGCAGUGGGGAAUUUUGGACAAUGGGCGGAAGCCUGAUCCAGCCAUGCCGCGUGAGUGAAGAAGGCCUUCGGGUUGUAAAGCUCUUUCGGUGGGGAAGAAAUUGCACGGGUUAAUACCCUGUGUAGAUGACGGUACCCGACUAAGAAGCACCGGCUAACUACGUG
rnacentral:rRNA from 1 species